GCCUGAUUUUACUUUCUCGUAAACUUGAGAGUUGAGCGGAACUCAUACAUAUUUUUACUUAUUUACUUUUAGUCAAUUUUAAACUAAUAAUGAAAUUUGCACUUUUUCUCAUCUGCGUGACACUGGUCGUUGCCUUGAAGAUGAGUGAAGCCAGUGAUUACGAAGACCGAGAAUUGGAUAAGAAAGAAAUUAAAAACUUCUACUCGAGCCGACAGCAUGUGAAUAUUCACGACACACGAUGUCCCCAUGGAUUCAAAAUGCAUUCGAGUGGAUAUCACUGUAUUCCAGACAAAACAGUUGAGGACUACUAUGAAUACUAGGAAUUGCCCAUUUCUAAAUAUGCAUGCAUGUAUUUAUAUUUCGGCUUCUUUGAUGUCAAAUAAAUAGACUAAAUGAGUUUUUAAUGUGUA